ensembl:lncRNA
UGAACAUUGCUGUACUGGGUUUAGUCUGGGGCUGUCAGAGAGGAAAAGGACUUACUAAUGAACAGUGGAAGGAGAAGCAAACACAAGAAUGUUGAACGUUCUCUCUUUGGACAAGCUUAUGACUUGCCUUCAAUUUAGUCUCAAGCAUUGAAGCCUUGAUUAGGUUUUGCACGCUGUUGCUAAUCAGGAAGUUCUUGCUUGGAUCCCCGCUGCAUCUUUUGCCUCUCAGGAGGAGAAUUCACAUGGACAAACCUAACUUCUUAUGGAAGAAAUUGAGUGGUCCUUCCAAGACUCAAGUUACGUACCUCAGAAUGAUGCAUACAGAGCUAAGCUAAGCUGCUUGUGAGAUCUGGAGAUCUGCAACUUGUGUCUAUACCGGACCUAGAGAUCUCAGUGGUGAGAGUAAAUACCCCAUCAUGUAGCCUACAUCUCUCUUGCAGUUCCAGC